UAGUAUAGCUUUUACUGCCCGGAUUAUGUCUGACAAUCUGGGCCCAUAAUCUGUUGGGUUUUUUAUUUUAGGUAUCACACAGACUAAUAAACCAUAACAGUUAAAAGAUUUUAAUUAUAAAACGUAAAAACACAAAGAACAUACAAAACGUAAACGUAAUUUCUUACAAUCAUAGAUGAUAGAACAUGUCCAACAAUACCAUAGACAUAACGAACCGUUCGCCAUCUAGUCCAUACAAAAGUGUUUCUCUCCGUUUUAAACAUUUGACGAGAUGAAAUGUCAUGUAUAUAAGGAAGAUGAUUAGGCAGGUGUAAAUUAUGUUGAGUGGGGCAUGAUGUGAAGGUUCUGGACUCGGUGAUUGGCCCCUUACUGGCUGAACAUUUGCUGCUGCUGCGAUCAGCAGGUAUUGUUUCCAGAGUUUUCGCGGCAUGGAAAUCUGUCGGCGAUGAAGACGUCGUUUUCCGACUGAAGACUGCAAUGGCACGGAAGAUUAAUUUUUAUUGAACCCUGCUUUUUGUAAUUAUUAGGUAUUGGGAAUUUUUUUCACCGCAUUUUAUUGUGGUGUUAGGUUUUGGGUGAGUUGUUAUAUAUACUUCUCCUAGUACCCCUGAAAUUAUCACAGACUUUACUCUGUGGCAGUUCAUUGGACAAUGUUGGCUUAAAUCUUAACGGUUGUUUCUUCAUAUAAUUUCUUCGCGCAUUCAGGUCCCUGUAUCGAAUCAGCGGAAAAUCGGGGUAUGUAACAGAGCUUGUUAUGAUAAGGUUUGCACUAAUGUGAGCCCGUUCCUGAUAUUUGCCUUAGGCUAUGUUUCCUUACGGGGUUUUGAUUAGUUACUGCUAGAAAUAGGGGUUGGUGAGGUAUAGAACACGUUUGAUUGUACCAGGCAAAAGGUGUUGUUAUUAAUUCAAAAAGAUUCCAAUGAUUCUUUUCUGCCAUGAUCAGAAUUUUAAUUUGUAUAAAAAGUUUGUUUUGAGUAAAGGAACAGUCGGUAAUUGGAAGUUCGAAAUACUUAUAAACCUCGGUAACAGGAAUGGCCAGUUCCUGCCCUGAUUUACCCAUCUCCCCUUCCAACCUUUCUAGGUCGUGUUUUAAUAUUACAGGGUGAAUGACUAAUGGCGGGGUUUUGUGAUGCUUACAUGACGUUAUAAUGUUAUGUCUUCUUAUUGGUCUGGUUAAAAGUAUGAUUCUUUUUAAAUUUUGAUACUCGUUGUAUAAUGAAGUCGUCCAAAAUGAAUCUUGUUCUCGUAUAGUUUGAAUGAUACUUUUUCGCAUAAUCUUUACAUACCUUUCAAUGAUUUUCAUUCUGUCUUCCGUCUUCUGAAACGUGGCUGAUAUCAUGCUGUCGUAUUUUCUGAACCUUUCUGAAUUUUCACUUACUUGUUUCACCGACGAUGAAAGCCACUUCGUAAGUGAUAGGAGUUGCUGCCUUAGCCAGUUCUCGUUUUUCGUUACCACUUUUAGUUUUUCAUGUGUUACUAGUCUGCAGCACCAAGAGAAUCCUUCACCAAUGAAGUCUAACGAUCUCUUAUUUCUAGAUGUUUCUUGUGGGUUUAAUGAACUGAUGCUCCAACUAUCUCCUAGCAUCUGUAGUUCCUUUGUAUAUGCUAUUGAUAAUUCGCGUAUAUGAUGUUCAAUAACGCACUCAUCCGCCUACGAUGGAGUAUUGCAUGUUUUUUCUAAGGGUGUUGUUGUUUCCAUGCCUUCUUCACUCCAAUUCGUCUCAUAGUUUAAUGGUAUUGCGGCUUCGUAAGUUAUAGUUUCUGGCACCGGUUUCCAAAACGCGCCAGCGUUGACCUCCACAUGGUAGUCCCCUUGCGAGUACCCCAACUUGACUCUUAUGAUUAGGGCGAAUCUGGUGAUAAAAAAAUCCUAUAUCGUCCUUAUAUUAAUGCCUUCAUUAUUCAAACAAUAGAGUCCUUAUUUUACGCCUUUCAUAUAAAUUGUUCGUUGAUUUUUUCGCCAAUUAUUCAUUUCGUUACUAUUUUUAUUAUAUUUAAAUUUAUUUAAAUUUCAUAAUUUAUGUAGUUAAUAAUUAAAUUUCGGGUAAUGGUUCGGGUGUCCAUGGGUCGUAAUAAGGAAGGAUUCUACUAACGUGCACCACAUCUUUUCGUGAUUUUUCUGUUCUACGCAUUUGUACCUCGUAGUCUACGUCCGAAACUUUGUUAUGUAGUAGGGACCGAACCAUCUUAGUAGGAGUUUUCGCUUCUUCCUACCUUUCUGACUGUGGUCAAUACUUUCACUUGGUCUCCCAUUUUAUAUCCGACGUGCCUAUGUUUUGUGUCGUAUCUAAGUUUGUCAAUCUUUUGUUUCAUUUCGAUGUUUUCCACAGCAUUGUACCGAAUUAACAAUGCUUCAUCUCUAAUUUCGUGACUGUCCUUUGGAUCUGGGGUAGGUAAUAUAUUCGCCUCCGUAGGUAAUAUUGGUUCCCUGGCGUAGACUAACCAUAACUUACAUAGGUAGCGUAUUAUUUUUAAAUAGGGGUGAUUUAUUAAAUUAUGCGCAAUCUUUUUUCUAAAUAUAAUUUAUUGUAAUCGACUCAAAGUAGUUUAUGUGGUGUUAAUUAAUUUAAAAGUGACGAACUUUUUUCUAUGUAUAAUUUAUUGUAAUCGACUCAGAGUAGUUUAUGUGGUGUUAUUUAAUUUAAAUGUGUGACGAACAAAAAAGAGUAACACGCAGUCAGAAAAAAUCGAGCUCGGAGGCAAACGUCAAACAAAUAAGUAACAAAAAUAUCCAGGGGCAGCAAAUUCAAAAGAUUUCAGGCCAACACACAGCAGCACUACUACAGAUCCUUUCACACACCAAUCAUCCUUGUCCAGGAGUCCACACCGACAAUCUCCAUCUAUGUUUACAUUUGAAUUUCCCUAAAACUUAAACUGCGUGACACUUCCCCCCGGCUUACAAAAGAUGGGCUCCAUUUUUGGCUAAAGAAAAAAAAAUUAAAAAAGGAAAAAUUAUUACAUUAUGACAUUAAUCUUUAAACACCCACUAGCAUACCAACACUUCACAGUUUUUCAAAGUUUUUAGAAGUUCAAUAAUUUUCUCAAUGACGAGAGCUAUCGAACUGGCGUCAAUUUCUGCUUGUAAAUAGAUAAUUGUUUUAGUUACUGCCUCGUUGCUGUGUAAUGCCAAAUACGCUUAUUUUGCAAGUGAAUAAACUCGAUAUCCGUUUUAUGAAUUUGAAAAGAAUAGCAACGUUAUA
rnacentral:lncRNA from 1 species